UGUUAAAAUCUCAUCCAAUUCUAUUGUUAAAAACUGGCAUGAUUGACAAAAUAACCAGACAAUUACAUAUGAAGUUUCAUUCCGACACACAAGGACCAGGUUUUAACAAUAGAAAUGGAUGGAUUUUUUAACA
rfam:Gossypium hirsutum cultivar TM-1 unplaced genomic scaffold scaffold3874.1, whole genome shotgun sequence